GAAUCGCGAUGUAAGAAGCUUGAUUUUGAUACAUAUAGUAAUGGAGAAUCACUAGGAAGUUGAAUAAAUUUCAUAGGAGUUAGGAUGAAGAAGCUAUCCCACUUUCAAAUCAGGUGAUCCCAUUUUUCCGGUUUGGGAAUAUGACAGCUUUAAAUGGAUACAUAAAGUAGUGGAGAACCAUUAGGAAGUUGAAUAAAUCUCAUAGGAGUUAGGAUGAAGAAGCUAUCCCACUCUCAAAUCAGGUGAUCCCGGUUUUCCUGUUUGGGAAUAUGACAGCUUCCUUGUUAUUCAUUUCAUAGGAGUUAGGAUGAAGAAGCUAUCCCACUUUCAAAAUCAGGUGAUCCCACGUUUGGUUUGGGAAAACUGGGAUCACCUGAUUUGAAAGUAGGAUAGCUUCUUCAUCCUAACUCCUAUGAGAUUUAUUCAACUUCCUAAUGGUUCUCCACUACUUUAUGUAUCCAAUUCAAGCUUCUUACAUCACGAUUCAUCCUGGUUUGAUUAGAAUGACAAAGAAGCUGUCAUAUUCCCAAACAGGAAAACUGGGAUCACCUGAUUUUGAAAGUGGGAUAGCUUCUUCAUCCUAACUCCUAUGAGAUUUAUUCAACUUUCUAGUGAUUCUCCAUUACUUUAUGUAUCAAAAUCAAGCUUCUUACAUCGCGAUUCAUCCUGGUUCGAUUAGAAUGACAAGGAAGCUGUUAUAUUCCCAAACAAGAAAACUAGGAUCACAUGAUUUGAAAGUGGGAUAGCUUCUUCAUCCUAACUCCUAUGAGAUUUAUUCAACUUCCUAGUGAUUCUCCAUUACUUUAUGUAUCAAAAUCAAGCUUCUUAGAUCGCGAUUCAUCCUGGUUUGAUUAGAAUAACAAGGAAGCUGUCAUAUUCCCAAACAGGAAAACCGGGAUCACCUGAUUUGAAAGUGGGAUAGCUUCUUCAUCCUAACUCCUAUGAGAUUUAUAUACACUUUUGUGUAUUAGAGCAUGAUUCAACUAAUCAGGGAUAAUCAGAUGAAAAGAUUAAAGAGAUUAAGAGAUUUUAGUGAGAGAAUAGAGAGAGAGACUCAAAACUCCAUUUGAUUGAUUAAUGAGAGAGUUUACAACACAUAUAGAUUAGGGAUACAUAAUUUCGUCCAGGUUCAGUCUAGCUAGGAUAAGAGGCAUGUGUAGUCAAAGAUGCUUGAUUCAAACUGGCCAAUAAGAUUCCUCACAUGCUUGGGUAUCUUGCUUUAGCUUUCCAGCUGGUGCCAGCCUGUCUAAAGCUCUCUAGCCUUGACCAGACCUUAUCCAAACUCCUCCUUGCUUAUCCAGACUCCUCC
rnacentral:lncRNA from 1 species